rnacentral:rRNA from 1 species
GAUGAACGCUGGCGGCGUGCCUAAUACAUGCAAGUCGAGCGAACAGACGAGGAGCUUACUCCUCUGACGUUAGCGGCGGACGGGUGAGUAACACGUGGAUAACCUACCUAUAAGACUGGGAUAACUUCGGGAAACCGGAGCUAAUACCGGAUAACAUGUUGAACCGCAUGGUUCAACAGUGAAAGACGGUCUUGCUGUCACUUAUAGAUGGAUCCGCGUCGCAUUAGCUAGUUGGUAAGGUAACGGCUUACCAAGGCAACGAUGCGUAGCCGACCUGAGAGGGUGAUCGGCCACACUGGAACUGAGACACGGUCCAGACUCCUACGGGAGGCAGCAGUAGGGAAUCUUCCGCAAUGGGCGAAAGCCUGACGGAGCAACGCCGCGUGAGUGAAGAAGGUCUUCGGAUCGUAAAACUCUGUUAUUAGGGAAGAACAAAUGUGUAAGUACCUAUGCACGUCUUGACGGUACCUAAUCAGAAAGCCACGGCUAACUACGUG